rnacentral:rRNA from 1 species
AGCUCCAAUAGCGUAUAUUAAAGUUGUUGCAGUUAAAAAGCUCGUAGUUGGACUUCAUGAAAUGCAAAUAGGAUAACUAUUUGCUUUCUACCAGUCUUUGACUGUUACUGUGAGAAAAUUAGAGUGUUUCAAGCAGGCUAUUGCAGGAAUACAUUAGCAUGGAAUAACGAAUGUAUCUACAAUUUGGUUGAUUGUAGAAUACGAUUAAUAGGGACAGUUGGGGGCAUUAGUAUUUAAUUGUCAGAGGUGAAAUUCUUGGAUUUGUUAAAGACUAACGUAUGCGAAAGCAUUUGCCAAGGAUGUUUUCA